rnacentral:rRNA from 1 species
GACAGAGGGUGCAAACGUUGUUCGGAAUUACUGGGCGUAAAGCGCGUGUAGGCGGCUUGGCAAGUCGGAUGUGAAAGCCCAGGGCUCAACCCUGGAAGUGCACUCGAAACUGCCGAACUUGAGUCCCGGAGAGGAAGGCGGAAUUCUCGGUGUAGAGGUGAAAUUCGUAGAUAUCGAGAGGAACACCUGUGGCGAAGGCGGCCUUCUGGACGGUGACUGACGCUGAGACGCGAAAGCGUGGGGAGCAAACAGG